CGUGAUGUCACUUAUGGACGACACCUGAAACAGCAAAACCUGCGCACAAUAAAUUCGAUGUUUUAGUUUUAUAGCUUUUUAUUGGCAUCGUUGGUUCAAGAACCGAUCACUUCCGGAUCAAUUCGAUACAUUGUUAAUAAUUCUCCCUCUAGCUGAUAAGAUCAAGAUUGUUUUUGUUUGUUAAAGCCCCACCCUCUCUGUCCGUGCAGGUGGUGUCCAUGUUCACUGUGGCAGGGUUGUUUGCUGAGGAGUGCGCAAGUCAAGGUCACCCCGACUUCGUACAGGAAGUCGUCGAUGUUGUGGUGGAUUUUACCGGAAGUGUGUUGCUCCCUUGGCUGGUCAUGCAAGGCGGAUGGGAUACAUUCCCUAUUCCAGGCGACAGCCAGAAAAGUCGACUCAGCAAAAUGCGGCUUCUCCUUGUAGCAGGGGGCGCCACCGCUGUUGCCGUUUCCAGCUCAGCGUUCUUAGACCUCUGGUGACCACAGCUGCACCAGAGUUACGUUCCCUAAGUCCCAUUGCAAAACCAACCCGGAUGGAGAAAACGCAUAGCAAAGUUUACCUCCGCAACGGGAGAUCGCCUUCGGAGUAGUGCGCGCCACUACACUUUCCUAACGGCACAUUGUUACAAGUGCCUUGGGACCUCUUCAGUGUUCUAACGUGUAUCGUGGACAUAUCUGAAUAGAGUUUUAACAGCUAUGAUUGGCUGGAGUAAGCGAGUUACGGUUGUGAAUCGAAAGAGCCACUUUCAGAGUUUACGAAUGUUGGCUUUUAUAUUGAUUUUUUUGUCUUUUCCGUGCCAGUCUAGCAUUGAAAUGUUGAAUUGAAUAUCAUCGUAAAAUAAAGUUUUCUUACUAAUGGCAAAAGAAAAAUACGACAGCGCCCUACUGCUAGUUUUUGUUGUCAAUUUUUCGAUGCAGUAGGACUGUCUGUGUUGAAUUUGAGACCUUGACUUUUGGGGAGGUUUAAUUUAAUUUAAACUUGAUGGGGGAGGUUUAAACUAAUUGAAACUGAUGGGGGAGCUUUCAUUGAAUUUAAAAUUGUAGGAGGUUUCAUUGAAUUUAGAUGUAUGUGGGAGGUUUCAUUGAAUUUAAAUGUAUGGCCUAAAAAUUUAGCUUUAGCUGAUAACUGACUCAAUGUGGCUUGAUUGAACCAAUGAUUAGAUAAUUAUUUUAGCUGUGCAGUCCCAUUAGUAAUAUCCCCCAAAAUGACAAGUCUAUUUUCUCUUUUGGUGACCUUUAUCCAAAUAGUUUUGAAAAAUAUUUGAAAGAAAAUGCUAAAUGGGAAUAAGUGUAGCAGAACAGUAAAUAAUUUAUUGCUAUGUGACCAUUUUUCAUGGUAACACAUUUGUUUUAAGCAAAAUAUAUUGGGUGGUAGGUGUUUUCUUCAGUCAAGUCACUUCAUGACCCAGCCAAGUUAAUAAUAGGCCAUUAACUUUAUAUGUACUGUCUUUCAAUGUGUAUUUGUAUUAAAGUAUUUAAGCAUACAUUCCCCACCCUGAAAGCCUUUUGUACAUCGUGUCUUUCAUCGUUAAUUUAAAAGCCUGCUAAAAAUAUUAGUAUAUUUAACAUUUAGUUUAGAUUAAAAGUAAAAACCAUUUGUAUAUUAAUAAAAAAAAACAUUAGGUAAUGUAAAUAAAUAAGUUUUCAUUAACAACAGGCCUAUUUAUAUUUUUAAAUGUAUGAAAUAUUUGUUUUUUUUUAUGUAGGCUACUAUAAAAGCUAUUUUUACUUCCAUUAUUUUUAAAGACCAAAACUUCAAAAUCAUUCCAUGCUCAAUGUUCAUACUGUUGGAGUCGUGUGACUAAUAUCCAAUUUUUAUUUCUCUGGCACAUGAGGGGAAUAGCAUAGUCAGCACUUUGCUCAGCAACCAUUACUUUAUCCUGACUGAAGUCGGGUUUUCAUAAGAGAUGGGUAGAUUUAAGGACAUCCUACAAACCUAGGCACAAAAACCUAACACAAGACCAUACAAUUACAUAUACGCUAGGCAUAUAGGAAGUAUAGAACUACAUGUUACAAGGACAUUGCAACAUGUCUGUCAGAUUAUGCGUAUGGUUAAUCUGCCAAAGCUAAAUGUGCUUACAGUAUUGAUCUGUUUAGGGUGAGGUCGAAAACCACCACGUGUCAGAGAAAAGUCAUAUUGAUUUUUUUUCUUACUACUCUAGACUGUGCAAGACUAAGUGCCUGUUGUGAAAAGCAUUAUCAUUCCUGACGUAAUUUAUAAUGCAAAAUUCUAUGUUCAUGUAACAGUUUAUCUUGAGGAUAUAAAGCAUAAGAUUAAGAACACAAGAUAACAUAUCAGAUGGGGAUACCUGCAAAAUUUAUAACAGAACUUAAAACUAUAUAACUUAAUAAAUAAUUGUCUUUUUUUUUGCUCAUUUUUGUAAUUCCUUGUCAUAGCUAAUAUAAAAAUUAUUUCAUAUUCUCUAUUUAUUUUUGCUUGUUUGAGAAAAAAGUCUUAAAUCUAAUAAAUAAAAAUGUACAUAUUUUGUUUUGUAUAAUAUUUUCCCCAUAUUGUAAAUUAAUAAUAAGAGUGGGUUAACAGGCGUAUAUGUUAAUCAAUAUUUUAAAAAGUAAUCUUUGCUGCCUGGAGUGGUCAGUGGUCUAAUGUAAAUUUUUCACAUAAAAUGUUUGAAUAAAUACAAAAUUUGAC